rnacentral:rRNA from 1 species
GACGGGGGGGGCAAGUGUUCUUCGGAAUGACUGGGCGUAAAGGGCGCGUAGGUGGUUUGAUAAGGGUGUGGUGAAAGUCCGGGGCUCAACCCCGGAUCUGCCGUGCCGACUGUCAAACUCGAGGACUGUAGAGGCAGACGGAAUUCCGGGUGUAGCGGUGGAAUGCGUAGAGAUCCGGAGGAAGACCGGUGGCGAAGGCGGUCUGCUGGGCAGUUUCUGACACUGAGGCGCGACAGCGUGGGGAGCAAACAGG